ACAUGCCUACAACAUAGUGUUAUUGCAUCGGAUCACAUUAGAACUCUGUCGUUAAGCACACUCAGGUUAGAGUAGUACUGGGAUGGAUGAUCGUCUGGGAAGUCCUAAUGUUUUACAUGCC
rnacentral:rRNA from 1 species